rnacentral:rRNA from 1 species
UGGGGAAUAUUGCACAAUGGGCGCAAGCCUGAUGCAGCCAUGCCGCGUGUAUGAAGAAGGCCUUCGGGUUGUAAAGUACUUUCAGCGGGGAGGAAGGUGUUGAGGCUAAUAACCUCAGCAAUUGACGUUACCCGCAGAAGAAGCACCGGCUAACUCCGUGCCAGCAGCCGCGGUAAUACGGAGGGUGCAAGCGUUAAUCGGAAUUACUGGGCGUAAAGCGCACGCAGGCGGUCUGUCAAGUCGGAUGUGAAAUCCCCGGGCUCAACCUGGGAACUGCAUUCGAAACUGGCAGGCUAGAGUCUUGUAGAGGGGGGUAGAAUUCCAGGUGUAGCGGUGAAAUGCGUAGAGAUCUGGAGGAAUACCGGUGGCGAAGGCGGCCCCCUGGACGAAGACUGACGCUCAGGUGCGAAAGCGUGGGGAGCAAACA